GGCACGAUGGUCUAGCGCUAGAAUAUCGGUAUGAUUCUCGCUUUGGGUGUGAGAGGUCCCGGGUUCAAAUCCCGGUCGUGCCC